rnacentral:rRNA from 1 species
GACAGAGGGUGCAAACGUUGUUCGGAAUUACUGGGCGUAAAGCGUGUGUAGGCGGCCACGUAAGUCGGAUGUGAAAGCCCUGGGCUCAACCCAGGAAGUGCACUCGAUACUGCGUGGCUAGAGUACUGGAGAGGUUGGUGGAAUUCUCGGUGUAGAGGUGAAAUUCGUAGAUAUUCGCAAGAACACCAGUGGCGAAGGCGGCUCACUGGCCCGGUACUGACGCUGAGGUGCGAAAGCGUGGG